GUGCCGCCGGAGCAGCUCCCUUUCUAAGUCCUUGUGGAACUGCUUGAGGAUGCGCACACACUUGAGGUUCUGCCGUGGCUCCCAGGUGCUCUCUGAGUCUGGGUAGCCACGCCAUUUUACCAGGUACUCGACUUCAAAGUCAUAGAGGUUCCUCUUGGAGAUGCCAAGGGCAGGGCAGGAGAGCUUGGCCAGGCGGCACAGGUCCUGUAGCUGAUUCCAAGAAGACUUGCAACACACACUACAGCCUAGAACAAGGAGGCCGGAAAGAACGCUUACUGGGCAUCCUGGCGAGGCCAGGAGUCAAAGGGGACCCCAAAUCCUCCCUGGGAUUUUCAAAAGACUGCCUCAGAGGGAGUGAGAUUGAAUCCACAGGCCCUCCCAGUGCUGAGACCCUUCUACAACAAAGCUGUGCCACUUCCUUCAACCCCAGUGCUCAUUGUCCAAGGCUACCCCUGGAGCGGCAGACCUCAAAAUGGGAUAUGCUGCAUGGAUUUCCUAAAGGAAUCUAGUCUCAGAGCUUCCGACUCCCUCUGUACUAUUCCACAAAGUGCCUGCCAACUUGCCUUGGGUUCAGGACCUGGUCAUCCUUCUCCCCUGGUCACCCUCCCCAUCGCAGUAGGGUGCACUGCCCCAAGCAGUGGAUGGGGAUGGGAUUAAAACCUCCAGGGUACCAAACGAAGGUGUAACCGGAAAGACUGGUUGGCAAUCCCUUAUCUGAAACUCCUGGAGCCAGAUGUGUUUAGGAAUUCAAAUUUUUUUUUUGAUUUCAUGAGUGUAGUUCUAGGUAUAUCCCAUACAUUCCUAACACCCCUACUGUGGUCAGGGGCGUCAAGCCAUAAUCAAACACAUGAAUAUUUCUGCAGCAGAAGUCUGAAUUUUCACAGGAAAUAGGAGACAUAAAGAUGUAAGAUAGCGGCACUGAAUAGUCCCACUUUAUAGUUUAGCUUUGCCACUGAAUGGUGCCCAACGUAAGUUUUCAGGGAUUUUUAGAUUUUGGAAUUAUGAAUAAGAGGUUGUGGAGUGGUAUUAGAUUACAGAAAGCGUCCUUGAAUGAUUAGUCUGGGUGCCUUAAACCCACAAGGUAUAUUUCUGCAACCCGCAUUGUGACUUUCUCUGUCUCACCCUCUUUUCUGUGAAAGGUAAAGCUCACCCUAAGGGGUAAUGCUCUGAAUUCAGGAACAGGCAAAACAAUAUAGGUUAGUGACAACAAUUAUUUUAAAUAUACCUGGAAUGUUUCUGGAGCUACCAAAAUUUUUCAAGACACAUUUUUUUUUUUAAAGGCUUCUUUCUGAUUCAAGGCCCAUUCUUAAGAUGCUUUAGAGGCCAUUUUAUCAAAUCAUUUCACAAAGCACUUAAUCCAAAUGUAGUCAGUCAGUCCUCACCCUAUCUCAUCUUUUUUAAAUGUUUAAUAUUUUCUGCCUCCCACUGCAAAACAUCAAACGUUUAAACUCAUGACAAAAUACUCCAGAUGUCAACCUAAAAAUGUACAAGAGCUUUGCAGAAUGAUUUCGUGUGCACUUCCCCCUCCACUUAGGCAGGCCCAGGGGAGCCUCGGCCAGUGCCCGUGCUUUCCUCCCCUUUCAAACCCCUUCACUCGCCUUUGAAACCCCACUAAAGUGGUGCCAACUCACA